GCCGUGGCUCAGAGGCACAGCAUCCGCGUGGCCUGUGGAAGGUCCCAGGUCCAAUCCCUGGCAUCUUCA
rnacentral:tRNA from 1 species